rnacentral:rRNA from 1 species
UGGGGAAUAUUGGACAAUGGGCGAAAGCCUGAUCCAGCCAUGCCGCGUGUGUGAAGAAGGUCUUCGGAUUGUAAAGCACUUUAAGUUGGGAGGAAGGGCAGUAAGCGAAUACCCUGCUGUUUUGACGUUACCGACAGAAUAAGCACCGGCUAACUCUGUGCCAGCAGCCGCGGUAAUACAGAGGGUGCAAGCGUUAAUCGGAAUUACUGGGCGUAAAGCGCGCGUAGGUGGUUCGUUAAGUUGAAUGUGAAAGCCCCGGGCUCAACCUGAGAACUGCAUCCAAAACUGGCGAGCUAGAGUAGGGCAGAGGGUGGUGGAAUUUCCUGUGUAGCGGUGAAAUGCGUAGAUAUAGGAAGGAACACCAGUGGCGAAGGCGACCACCUGGGCUCAUACUGACACUGAGGUGCGAAAGCGUGGGGAGCAAACAGG